GGAAUAUUGUUUUUGCGGCAUGC
rnacentral:siRNA from 1 species